rnacentral:rRNA from 1 species
AGAGUUUGAUCAUGGCUCAGAUUGAACGCUGGCGGAAUGCUUUACACAUGCAAGUCGAACGGCAGCACGGACUUCGGUCUGGUGGCGAGUGGCGAACGGGUGAGUAAUACAUCGGAACGUGCCCAGUCGUGGGGGAUAACGUAGCGAAAGUUACGCUAAUACCGCAUACGAUCUACGGAUGAAAGCGGGGGACCGUAAGGCCUCGCGCGAUUGGAGCGGCCGAUGUUAGAUUAGGUAGUUGGUGGGGUAAAGGCUCACCAAGCCGACGAUCUAUAGCUGGUCUGAGAGGAUGAUCAGCCACACUGGGACUGAGACACGGCCCAGACUCCUACGGGAGGCAGCAGUGGGGAAUUUUGGACAAUGGGCGCAAGCCUGAUCCAGCCAUUCCGCGUGCAGGACGAAGGCCUUCGGGUUGUAAACUGCUUUUGUACAGAACGAAAAGCUCUGGGUUAAUACCCUGGGGUCAUGACGGUACUGUAAGAAUAAGCACCGGCUAACUACGUACCAGCAGCCGCGGUAAU